GCCCAGCCAGGACAGCUGGGGGUUUCAGGGCUGCAACCCAAGUCCAUUCAAGUCCUUGGCACAACUCAGUUCCAUAUGGCUGUUAACAAUGGUCCCAGACUAGCUUAGCUGUCAGCCUGGGGUCACCCUUAGCUCCCUGCCCUUUUUUCCUCUUCCAAGAAGCCACAGCAGGGAAAGGGGAUGUUUCUCAAUUUAGAAACAGGGCUGAUAAAGUAAAGCAGAGAGAAACACAGAUCCGGAUCCGAGGAAACGGUCCGGGAGCCCGUGAUCGAGAAACUUCGCUUUGCCCCAACAACUCGCACCUGCAGCGCGGCCCGAGCCGGCCGGGGCGCGGGGGACAGCGACAGCCCGGCCUUUUAUCCGCACGCGGGCUCCCGCAGCCCGGCCCUCACCGCACCGCACCGCGCCGAGCCACGCCGGGCCACGCCGCGGGCGGCUGUGGGGAAGAGGACGGGAACGCGGACGCCGCCUGACUCACGCUUAUACUCGGCCAUCAGCCUCUUGAGCGCCGUCCCCGCCAUACCGCGGAACCUGCGUUCAGCAGCCUCGCCACAUCCGCGCCGGUCCCGCCCGCUCGCCCACGGCUGCUUCCGGGUCGCGGUCUCGGGCUGCAAAUGCAUCCGGGGCGCGCGCGGGUGACGUGGCGCCGCCGGGGGAGGGCGUCAGAAAGAGGCUCGCGGGGGUCACGGCCUCCGGGCGGACGGAGCUCGGGUUCCAGAACCUUCUCGGCCGGCCUCACCCUCAGCGUUGGAGCGCGCAGCUCGCCCUGUGGCCCUUUAGUCUUGAAAAAUCCUGCGAGAGCGAAUGGCCGGCCCAUCGUGGAUCGUUCCCGAAUGAGACUCAUUACCUUGUA